CAUAUAGCACACCUCAUUUGGGCGGGCCACAUUUUAAGUGCUUGGGAGCCACAUGCUGCAAUUGUGACGAGUGGUGAUCGUAUUAUGCAGCACAGUCCUAGAGGGCUGCUCUUCUUUUGCGGGGUUAAAACUGGCUCAUGGUCCCUCUGUGCCACGGCCGGCCUCAACUCUCUAGAGACGGUGAAACACAAGAUCCAGGCCCUGCAGCAGCAGGCGGACUAGGAGGAAGACCGCGCGCAGGUCCUGCAGCGGGAGCUGGACUGCGAGCGCGAAUGGCGCGAGAAAGCUGAAGGUGAUAUGGCCGCCCUUAACCGAGGCAUCCAGCUAGUUGAGGAGGAGCUCUAUAGGGCUCAGGAACGACCAGCCACAGCCCUGCAGAAGCUGGAGAAGGUGGAAAAGGCCGCAGAUGAGAGUGAGAGAGGAAUGAAGGCGAUAGAAAACCGGCCAUGAAGGAUGAGAAGAUGGAGAUUCAGGAGAUGCAGCUGGAAGAGGCCAAGCACGUUGCGGGAGAGGCUGACCGCAAACACGAGGAGGUAGCUUGGAAUCUGGACGCCCUGGAGGGUGAGCUGGAGAGGGCAGAGGCAUGUGCGGAGGUGUCUGAACUAAAAUGUGGCGACCUGGAAGAAGAACUCAAGAAUGUUACUAACAAUCUGAGGUCGCUGGAGGCUGCAUCUGAAAAGUAUUCUGAAAAGAGAGAACAGUGGCAAAACUGGAAAAGACCCUUGAUGACCUGGAAGAGAAACUUGCCCAGGCCAAAGAAGCGAACGUGGGCUUACAUCAGACACUGGAUCAGACACUAAAUGAACUUAACUGUAUAUAAUCAAAACAGAAGAGUCUUGUUCCACCAGAAACUCCGGAGCUCCGGGGAUCUUUCUCUUCUCUUGUCAGAGUUGUGGUUGUCAUUCUCCGUGUGACCUGCUAUCGUUGGCACCUGGUGCAUGGACCAGAGAAUGAGCAGGCUCUGCAGAGAAGAGAGCCUAGAUCCUGGGACCAGAAGACCUUGGCAUAACAGCCCAUUCUCAGGGCUGAUGUCUGCCAUAGCUGGACUGGUGUGGCCACAAGCCAAGGAAUGUUUGAAACUAUCAGAAGCUGGAAGAGGCAGCGAAGGAUUCUCCCUCAGAGGCUUCAGGAGGAGCAUGGCCUGUGGACACCUUGAUUCUGGAUUUCUGGCCUCCAGAACUGAGAGAGUAAAUUUCUGUCAUUUUAAGCCACCAUGUUUCUAUAUUUGGGGAUAUAGAAAAAUAUUGCUCUUCUAUGUCGAGAAUAUAGAGAAUUUUUCUUCUAUAAAGAAAAAUUUGGCUCUUCUAUAAAGUUGAUACAUUGGUUUUCUCUUCUGGCUUGAAAACUUGGUUUUAAGAUAAUUCCCAUUAGAAAAAAAUUUCAGAACUAAUUUUAGUGAUAGUGUUAUUGAAAUGUGUCUAUUUCUCUCUAAAGUCUACUUAAAUAAUUUGUCACCCACAUGGUCUAUGAGGUUCUAGCUAGGAAAAUAGAAACCACUUCAGGUAUUUAUAAGGAAGGAGUUGAACGCAGGAAUUUAUUAUAGCAGUAAUAGAGGAGCUACUAGAAGUGUGAACCCUGAAAAUCUGAGACAGGUCUGAAUUAAUUUAGAGAGUGUAUUUUGCCAAGGUUGAAGACACACACCUGUGACACAGCCUCGGGUGGUCCUGUCGACAUGUGCCCAAGGUGGUCAGGGCACAGCUUGGCUUUACACAUUUUAGGGAGACAUCAAUCAAUAUGUGUAAGAU
rnacentral:lncRNA from 13 species